rnacentral:rRNA from 1 species
UAUACCGUGAAACUGCGAAUGGCUCAUUAAAUCAGUUAUCGUUUAUUUGAUAAUACCUUACUACUUGGAUAACCGUGGUAAUUCUAGAGCUAAUACAUGCUGAAAAUCCCGACUUCGGAAGGGAUGUGUUUAUUAGAUAAAAAACCAAUGCCCUUUCGGGGCUUUUUGGUGAUUCAUGAUAACUUUACGGAUCGCAUAGCCUUGCGCUGGCGACGGUUCAUUCAAAUUUCUGCCCUAUCAACUUUCGAUGGUAAGGUAUUGGCUUACCAUGGUUUCAACGGGUAACGGGGAAUUAGGGUUCGAUUCCGGAGAGGGAGCCUGAGAAACGGCUACCACAUCCAAGGAAGGCAGCAGGCGCGCAAAUUACCCAAUCCCGACACGGGGAGGUAGUGACAAUAAAUACUGAUACAGGGCUCUUUUGGGUCUUGUAAUUGGAAUGAGUACAAUUUAAACCUCUUAACGAGGAACAAUUGGAGGGCAAGUCUGGUGCCAGCAGCCGCGGUAAUUCCAGCUCCAAUAGCGUAUAUUAAAGUUGUUGCAGUUAAAAAGCUCGUAGUUGAAACUUGGGCCUGGCUGGCGGGUCCGCCUCACCGCGUGCACUCGUCCGGCCGGGCCUUCCUUCUGAAGAACCUCAUGCCCUUCACUGGGCGUGCUGGGGAAUCAGGACUUUUACUUUGAAAAAAUUAGAGUGUUCAAAGCAGGCCUUUGCUCGAAUACGUUAGCAUGGAAUAAUAAAAUAGGGCGUGCGUUUCUAUUUUGUUGGUUUCUAGAGACGCCGCAAUGAUUAACAGGAACAGUCGGGGGCAUCAGUAUUCAGUUGUCAGAGGUGAAAUUCUUGGAUUUACUGAAGACUAACUACUGCGAAAGCAUUUGCCAAGGAUGUUUUCAUUAAUCAGUGAACGAAAGUUAGGGGAUCGAAGACGAUCAGAUACCGUCGUAGUCUUAACCGUAAACUAUGCCGACUAGGGAUCGGGCGAUGUUCUUUUUCUGACUCGCUCGGCACCUUACGAGAAAUCAAAGU